UACGUAGGGUGCAAGCGUUGUCCGGAAUUAUUGGGCGUAAAGAGCUUGUAGGCGGUUUGUCGCGUCUGCUGUGAAAUUUCGGGGCUCAACCCCGAACUUGCAGUGGGUACGGGCAGACUAGAGUGUGGUAGGGGAGAUUGGAAUUCCUGGUGUAGCGGUGGAAUGCGCAGAUAUCAGGAGGAACACCGAUGGCGAAGGCAGAUCUCUGGGCCGUAACUGACGCUGAGGAGCGAAAGCGUGGGGAGCGAACAGG
rnacentral:rRNA from 1 species